UACGGAGGGUGCAAGCGUUGCUCGGAAUCACUGGGCGUAAAGCGCCCGCAGGCGGCCUGACAAGUCGGAUGUGAAAGCCCUGGGCUCAACUCAGGAAUUGCAUUCGAAACUGGUAGGCUCGAGUACGGGAGAGGAGAGUGGAAUUCCUGGUGUAGCGGUGAAAUGCGCAGAUAUCAGGAAGAACACCCGUGGCUAAGGCGGCUCUCUAGUACGGUACUGACGCUGAGACGCGAAAGCGUGGGGAGCGAACAGG
rnacentral:rRNA from 1 species